GGGUCCGUGGUCCAGAAUGGUUAAGACGCCGCUUUCACACAGCGGAGAUCGCCGGUUCAAUUCCGGCCGGACCCA
rnacentral:tRNA from 1 species